GAUGAACGCUGGCGGCGUGCCUAAUACAUGCAAGUCGAGCGAACGGACGAGAAGCUUGCUUCUCUGAUGUUAGCGGCGGACGGGUGAGAACACGUGGAUAACCUACCUAUAAGACUGGGAUAACUUCGGGAAACCGGAGCUAAUACCGGAUAAUAUUUUGAACCGCAUGGUUCAAAAGUGAAAGACGGUCUUGCUGUCACUUAUAGAUGGAUCCGCGCUGCAUUAGCUAGUUGGUAAGGUAACGGCUUACCAAGGCAACGAUGCAUAGCCGACCUGAGAGGGUGAUCGGCCACACUGGAACUGAGACACGGUCCAGACUCCUACGGGAGGCAGCAGUAGGGAAUCUUCCGCAAUGGGCGAAAGCCUGACGGAGCAACGCCACGUGAGUGAUGAAGGUCUUCGGAUCGUAAAACUCUGUUAUUAGGGAAGAACAUAUGUGUAAGUAACUGUGCACAUCUUGACGGUACCUAAUCAGAAAGCCACGGCUAACUACGUG
rnacentral:rRNA from 1 species